AAAUACAUCAUGGGCUGUGACACUGUCACCCCUUGACCGCCAGGGUUGAUUCGGCUGAUCUGGCUGGCUAGGUGGGUGUCCCCAUCCUUCCAACCACUUCAUGUGUGUCCCUCCUGAAGCUGCAUGCAUGAUCGAAGAGGAUGACCAUUCCUGAUAGAGGAGGACCAGUCUUUGGUUCGGGUAUAUGAGUAGCUGCUCCAAACAAGCUCUCAAAUAUGAAGUGUAGCCUUCCCCUCCACCCACCACCAUUCCAUCCUGACACU
rfam:Dipodomys ordii contig_82515, whole genome shotgun sequence.